AAUCCCCACCAAUGUCUCCUCCUUCACUAGCUCUCUGUUUUCACGCCUUGAAAGUUGAGUGUCACACGACCUUUGACGUAAUAUCACGUGCUGUGGAUGACUGGUCACGACAAGCAUCCUCUUACAUCCAGUAAAAGCAGACUGGGCAAACUGUCGGCUAUACAAAAAGAGAAAAACAAACACUAGCCUAUUUCCCAACCUUUUUCGUUAAAGUCAAUCGAUUGACUGCAGAAGGAGACACUGCCACAAAAAAAGAAUAACAUACGGCUUUAAGGCACGGGCACCCCUCCCAGAAUGGUUGAACACUCCACUCUCCUCUCCAGACUCUGCACAGAGGAGGCUUCCGAAGCUGGGCCAGUGGGGACACCUGGUGACAGAAAAGCACAUUGCAACAAGGUGUCAUCAUCAGUGCAGUUGAUGUGGUCUCCUGAGUGCUGACAGUCACAGACAGUCUCUUGUAUGUCAGCCAUGAAAAUACAUCUCAACAUGAAAAUGGUAAAGAAUGGUAUAAGAGUAAAGUGCCAUAGGCCUUUCUGUUGCUUAAUGAGUUAGUGAGAAUGCAACUGAGCUGACCUGAAUUGAAGGACUGGUGCUUAAUGUGCACAGUGCCUGUAGUGAGGGGGUCCUCUGCUGGCGGGCGUUGGGGUGAAGCCUGUGGGUGUGGCGGAGCUGGCCAGAGGCGCUGAGAUACUGAGCUGUUCCAUGCUGCUGGAGCGCCCUCCCUUCACCAGCCUGCCCACACUGUGCAGCCCAACGAAGGAGAAGAACCGUCGCAGUGAGAGUUUGGGUCUACCAUCCCACUCUGCCAUAGACCUCCCACACACGUUAGCAAUGUGUACAGACAGAGCAGCCUGGAGGUGUGUUUUGGGUCAUUGUCCUGUUGAAAAACAAAUGACAGUCCCACUAAGAGCAAACCAGAUGGGAUGGUGUGUCACUGCAGAAUGCUGUGGGAGCCAUGCUGGUUAAGUGUGCCUUGAAUUCUAAAUAAAUAACUGACAGUGUCACCAGCAAAGCACCAUCACACCUCCUCCUCCAUGCUUCACGGUGGGAACCACACAUGCGGAGAUCAUCCACUCACUUACUCUGCAUCUCACAAAGACAUAGUGGUUGGAACCAAAAAGACCAAAGGACAGAUUUCCACCGGUCUAAUGUACAUUGCUCGCGUUUCUUGGCCGGUGCAAGUCUCUUCUUCAUAUUGGUGUCCUUUAGUAGUGGUUUCUUUGCAGCAAUUUGACCAUGAAGGCCUGAUUUACACAGUCUCCUCUGAACAGUUGAUGUUGAGAUGUGUCUGUUACUUGAACUCUGUGAUGCAUUUAUUUGGGCUGCAAUCUGAGGUGCAGUUAAUUUGAAUGAACGUAUCCUCUGCAGCAGAGGUAACUCUGGGUCUUCCUUUCCUGUGGCAGUCCUCAUGAGAGCCAGCUUCCUCAUAGUUCUGGAUGGUUUUUGUGACUGCACUUGAAGAAACUUUCAAAGUUCUUGAAAUUUUCCGGAUUGACUGAUUCUCAUGUCUUAAAGUAAGGAUGGACUGUCAUUUCUCUUUGCUUAUUUCUUUUACCAAAUAGGGCUAUCUUCUGUAUACCACCCCUACCUUGUCACAACAAAACUGAUUGGCUCAAACGCAUUAAAUUCCACAAAUGAACUUUUAACAAGGCACACCUGUUAACUGAAAUGCAUUCCAGGUGACUACCUCAUGAAGCUGGUUGAGAGAAUGCCAAGAGUGUGCGAAGCUGUCAUCAAGGCAAAGGGUGGUUAAUUUGAAGAAUCUUAAAUAUAAAAUAUAUUUUGAUUUGUUUAACACUUUUUGGAUUACUACAUGAUUCCAUAUGUGUUAUUCCAUAGAUUUGAAGACUUCGCUAUUAUUCUACAAUGUAGAAAAUAGUACAAAUAAAGAAAACCCCUGGAAUGAG